rnacentral:rRNA from 1 species
ACAGCUAUUAUUAACUUGAUCUUGACAUUUAUCCUACAUGGAUAACUGUGGUAAUUCUGGAGCUUAUACAUGCAUUUACGCUUCUGUUGCUUAGGCAAUGGGGUGCACUUAUUAGAACAAAACCAUCCGGCCUCACGGCUGGUAUUUUGUUGACUCUGAAUAAUUCCGCUGAUCGUAUGAUCUCGUAUCGACGAUUUGUCAUUCAAGUGUCUGCCCUAUCAUACUCUGAUGGUAGUAUAUUGUGCUAUCAUGGUUGUGACGGGUAACGGAGAAUUAGGGUUCGUCUCCGGAGAAAAUGCCUGAGAAACGGCUUUUACAUCCAAGGAAGGCAGCAGGCGCGAAAAUUACCCACUCUCAGUUCGAGGAGGUAGUGACGUGAAAUGACAAGAUUUAUUCCUUCGGGAGUGAAUCAUUGGAAUGGUUUGAACUUAAAUCAUUCAAAGAUUAUCUAUGAGAGGGCAAGUCUGGUGCCAGCAGCCGCGGUAAUUCCAGCUCUCAUACUGCAUUGAAUUGUUGUUGCGGUUAAAAAGCUCGUAGUUGGAUCUGAAUCUCAUUGUAAUUCGGUACAUUCCUCGUGAAUGUUACUGUUUGCAUGGAUGUUUACGAAUAGCUUGUUCAUGUUGUGUAUUUGUUUAUGCAGCGUGAACGGGGUUAUUCGAGUUUACUUUGAAUAAAUCAGAGUGCUCAGAACAGGCUUUAUGCUUGUAUGGUUUUGCAUGGAAUAAUAGAACAUGACUUUGGUAUUAUGUUUUAUUGGUUUUAAGUACCUAAGUAAUGAUUAAAAGGAACAAACGGGGGCAUUUGUAUCGUUGCGCGAGAGGUGAAAUUCAUGGACCGUAGCGAGACAAACUACCGCGAAAGCAUUUGCCAAGAAUGUUUUCAUUAAUCAAGAACGAAAGUCAGAGAUCG